rnacentral:lncRNA from 1 species
UAAAACACUCUCUAACCUUCACAUUUUGCAAGUUUAGGCAGAUUCAUCCAAGCUCAAAACAGUGAGUUUUGAGCUUGUUUAUGCAACUUUUCUUCUUGUUUUUCCUUCCUUGGAUAACCUUUAAGAGUGUUACCAUAUGUUUACCAAGGAAAUAUUUAAUGAUGAUUCUUUAAGAAAUCUACUUCGGGUAGGUUAGAAAGUCACCAAACUUUAUUUAUGUAUUUUGUUGCUUAGUAUGAAAUUCCCACUUGU